UCUGACUUAGGGUCUAUGGAAUCUGAUUUAGUGUCUAUGGAAUCCGAUUUAGGGUCCAUGGAAUCUGAUUUAGGGUCUAUGGAGUCUGAUUUAGGGUCUAUGGAAUCUGAUUUAGGGUCUAUGGAAUCUGAUUUAGGGUCUAUGGAAUCUGAUUUAGGGUCUAUGGAAUCUGAUUUAGCGUCUAUGGAAUCUGAUUUAGGGUCUAUCGAAUCUGAUUUAGAGUCUACGGAAUCUGAUUUAGCGUCUAUGGAAUCUGAUUUAUUGUCUAUGGAACUUGAUUUAGGGUCUAUGGAAUCUGACUUAGGGUCUAUGGAAUCUGACUUAGGGUCUAUGGAAUCUUAUUUAGUGUCUAUGGAAUCCGAUUUAGGGUCUAUGGAAUCUGAUUUAAGGUCCAUGGAAUCAGAUUUAUGGUCUAUGGAAUCUGACUUACGGUCUAUGGAAUCUGACUUAGGGUCUAUGGAAUCUGAUUUAGGGUCUAUGGAAUCUGAUUUAGGGUCUAUGGAAUCUGAUUUAGGGUCUAUGGAAUCUGACUUGGGGUCCAUGGAAUCUGAUUUAGGGUCUAUGGAAUUUGAUUCAGGGUCUAUGGAAUCUGAUUUAGGGUCUAUGGAAUCUGAUUUAGGGUCUAUGGAAUCUGAUUUAGGGUCUAUGGAAUCUGAUUUAGGGUCUAUGGAAUCUGAUUUAGGGUCUAUGGAAUCUGAUUUAGGGUCUAUGGAAUCUGAUUUAGGGUCUAUGGAAUCUGAUUUAGCGCCUAUGGAAUCUGAUUUAGGGUCUAUGGAAUCUGAUUUAGAGUCUAUGGAAUCUGACUUAGGGUCUAUGGAAUCUGAUUUAUGGUCUAUGGAAUCUGAUUUAGGGUCUAUGGAAUCUGACUUAGGGUCUAUGGAAUCUGAGUUAGGGUCUGUGGAAUCUUAUUUAGUGUCUAUGGAAUCCGAUUUAGGGUCUAUGGAAUCUGAUUUAAGGUCCAUGGAAUCAGAUUUAUGGUCUAUGGAAUCUGACUUAGGGUCUAUGGAAUCUGACUUAGGGUCUAUGGAAUCUGACUUAGGUCUAUGGAAUCUGAUUUAGGGUCUAUGGAAUCUGAUUUAGGGUCUAUGGAAUCUGAUUUAGGGUCUAUGGAAUCUGACUUGGGGUCCAUGGAAUCUGAUUUAGGGUCUAUGGAAUCUGAUUCAGGGUCUAUUGAAUCUGUUUUAGGGUCUAUGGAAUCUGAUUCAGGGUCUAUGGAAUCUGAUUUAG
rnacentral:lncRNA from 1 species